rnacentral:rRNA from 1 species
GAUGAACGCUGGCGGCGUGCCUAAUACAUGCAAGUCGAGCGAACAGACGAGGAGCUUGCUCCUCUGACGUUAGCGGCGGACGGGUGAGUAACACGUGGAUAACCUACCUAUAAGACUGGGAUAACUUCGGGAAACCGGAGCUAAUACCGGAUAAUAUAUUGAACCGCAUGGUUCAAUAGUGAAAGACGGUUUUGCUGUCACUUAUAGAUGGAUCCACGCCGCAUUAGCUAGUUGGUAAGGUAACGGCUUACCAAGGCAACGAUGCGUAGCCGACCUGAGAGGGUGAUCGGCCACACUGGAACUGAGACACGGUCCAGACUCCUACGGGAGGCAGCAGUAGGGAAUCUUCCGCAAUGGGCGAAAGCUUGACGGAGCAACGCCGCGUGAGUGAUGAAGGUCUUCGGAUCGUAAAACUCUGUUAUUAGGGAAGAACAAAUGUGUAAGUAACUAUGCACGUCUUGACGGUACCUAAUCAGAAAGCCACGGCUAACUACGUG